rnacentral:rRNA from 1 species
GUUAGGUAAAUCCGGCUCUUUCUAAGGCUGAGACACGACGUCGAGCACCUACGGGUGUGAAGUCAUUGAUGCCAUGCUUCCAGGAAAAGCCUCUAAGCUUCAGAUUGUAAGGAAUCGUACCCCAAACCGACACAGGUGGUCGGGUAGAGAAUACCAAGGCGCUUGAGAGAACUCGGGUGAAGGAACUAGGCAAAAUGGUACCGUAACUUCGGGAGAAGGUACGCUCU